rnacentral:rRNA from 1 species
UACAGAGGGGGCAAGCGUUGUUCGGAAUUACUGGGCGUAAAGGGCGCGUAGGCGGCCUUCUAAGUCGAACGUGAAAUCCCCGGGCUCCGAACCCGGGAACCUGCGUCCGAGUACUGGAAGGCUUGAAUCCGGGAGAGGGAGUGCGGGAAUUCCAGGGUGUAGCGGGUGAAAUGCGUAGAUAAUCUGGAGGAACACCGGUGGCGA